rnacentral:rRNA from 1 species
UACGUAGGGACCGAGCGUUGUCCGGAUUCAUUGGGCGUAAAGAGCUCGUAGGCGGCUGCUCAAGUCGAAUGUGAAAACUCGAGGCUCAACCUCGAGCCUGCAUUCGAUACUGGGCGGCUAGAGUCUGGUAGGGGGAUCUGGAAUUCCUGGUGUAGCGGUGGAAUGCGCAGAGUAUCAGGAGGAACACCGGUGGCGAAGGCGGUUCUCUGGGCCUUACCUGACGCUGGAGGAGCGAAAGCGUGGGGAGCAAACAGG